GACGAACGCUGGCGGCGUGCCUAAUACAUGCAAGUCGAGCGGACUUAAAAAGCUUGCUUUUUAAGUUAGCGGCGGACGGGUGAGUAACACGUGGGCAACCUGCCUGUAAGACUGGGAUAACUUCGGGAAACCGGAGCUAAUACCGGAUAAUCCUUUCCUACUCAUGUAGGAAAGCUGAAAGACGGUUUACGCUGUCACUUACAGAUGGGCCCGCGGCGCAUUAGCUAGUUGUUGAGGUAACGGCCCACCAAGGCGACGAUGCGUAGCCGACCUGCGCGGGUGCUCGGCCACACUGGGACUGAGACACGGCCCAGACUCCUACGGGAGGCAGCAGUAGGGAAUCUUCCGCAAUGGACGAAAGUCUGACGGAGCAACGCCGCGUGAGUGAUAAAGGUUUUAGGAUCGUAAAACUCUGUUGUUAGGGAAGAACAAGUACGAGAGUAACUGCUCGUACCUUGACGGUACCUAACCAGAAAGCCACGGCUAACUACGUGCCAGCAGCCGCCGUAA
rnacentral:rRNA from 1 species